CCAACAUUCAAGUCCAAACAUCUCAGUCCAUUUGCAGCCGUGGAAAGCCCAAGAUCCAUUUUGAUGUUUCAGUGACUCAUCGGACAAAAACAGGAGCCAAGCACAGCUACAAACCAAAAUAAGAGGAAGGGAACAAGCCUACUACAAGAUACAGGCAACUGUAGUUCUGGAUUACUGCAACUAGAAUGAUAGAUAAGAGUUUUCAAUUGCACAUGUACAGAUCAAUAUGUUGCUUUCUACAUCUGAUAUUCUUGUCCACUGACAUCUUCCAUCCAUGCUCUAUUUAGUGAGUCUGCAGAUGUUGGACUUCUGGCCUAUCCAGAUCAUUUUAUUCCGCUCUUCACGCAAAAGGUUCUGCAAUCUCACUUCUCGAUUUAUGUUGGACUUCUUAAAUUGUGCCCAUCUGAGCCAGUCAGUCUCCCAAGCUGUAUUAAUUUGUGAGCAGUAGAAAACAUGAUGAUGACGUUAAAAAGAUUAUGAUCACAGAGUUGAAGAUCAGCAAAUCAGGACUUACUGCUAUGGCAGUGCCGAGCAGAGGUUAAACUAUGGCCACACAUUUGGAUAAACAGCUCCAGAAUUUGUGAUGACAGUUAUGACUCCGUGGACUGAAGAUUCACAUCCAGAAUACAAGGCUUUACCAUCAGGGUGGGUAUUGAAUGCAUGGUAAGCUGGGGAGAUGGCAGAGUAUAUGUCACAGGAGUAUCUAGUAUAAUCUGCUAUAACCUUGUCAGAAAGGAGGCCAACUUUGCUACAUAAUUUGAGGUCAUGAUGCCUUUCUGCAAAAUGAACUGGAUCAACCAACUUCUUUGAGUCCCUUGAUGUAUGUUAGUCUGUACGGAUCAGAAGUCAAUAC